rnacentral:rRNA from 1 species
GGCGGGGGUGAGUAACACGUGGGUAACCUGCCUGUAAGACUGGGAUAACUCCGGGAAACCGGAGCUAAUACCGGAUAGUUCCUUGAACCGCAUGGUUCAAGGAUGAAAGACGGUUUCGGCUGUCACUUACAGAUGGACCCGCGGCGCAUUAGCUAGUUGGUGGGGUAAUGGCUCACCAAGGCGACGAUGCGUAGCCGACCUGAGAGGGUGAUCGGCCACACUGGGACUGAGACACGGCCCAGACUCCUACGGGAGGCAGCAGUAGGGAAUCUUCCGCAAUGGACGAAAGUCUGACGGAGCAACGCCGCGUGAGUGAUGAAGGUUUUCGGAUCGUAAAGCUCUGUUGUUAGGGAAGAACAAGUGCGAGAGUAACUGCUCGCACCUUGACGGUACCUAACCAGAAAGCCACGGCUAACUACGUGCCAGCAGCCGCGGUAAUACGUAGGUGGCAAGCGUUGUCCGGAAUUAUU